AAUGACGCAACAAUACAGCUCCAGACCAGAGAAAGUUAAUGCCAAAGAUAUUAUUCGGUUCCACACUAAAACUGCGCUUUGACAAGUGUGAUUUGAGAAAUAAAACUUGUAGACCUUUACUACAGUCUCUGAGGAGAUGGACACCUCUUCUUCUUCUGGACGAUCUCCGUCUCCUACUGGGACUGUCUUCUUACCCCCUCCUAUCAUGUGGAACAGUCUCUACAAGCAGGCAGAGAUGGAGGUUCAGUUCCUGAGAGAAGAGAAGAAGACCUGUACAAAG